rnacentral:rRNA from 1 species
AACCUGGUUGAUCCUGCCAGUAGUCAUACGCUUGUCUCAAAGACUAAGCCAUGCAUGUCUAAGUAUAAAUGCUAUACAAUGAAACUGCGAAUGGCUCAUUAAAACAGUUAUAGUUUAUUUGGUAAUCGAAUUUACAUGGAUAACCGUGGUAAUUCUAGAGCUAAUACAUGCUGCUAAGCCUGACUUUUUGAAGGGCUGUAUUUAUUAGAUAACAGACCAAUAUUCCUCGUGUCUAUUGUGGUGACUCAUAGUAACUGAUCGGAUCGCAUGGGCGUGCCCGCGACAAACCAUUCAAGUUUCUGCCCCAUCAGCUUUCGAUGGUAGUGUAUUGGACUACCAUGGCUUUUACGGGUAACGGAGGAUUAGGGUUCGAUUCCGGAGAGGGAGCCUGAGAAACGGCUACCACAUCUAAGGAAGGCAGCAGGCGCGUAAAUUACCCAAUCCUGACUCAGGGAGGUAGUGACAAGAAAUAACGGGCCGGGUUUAAUAUCCGGGACUGAAAUGAGAUGAAUUUACACCCCUUAUUGAGGAUCAAUUGGAGGGCAAGUCUGGUGCCAGCAGCCGCGGUAAUUCCAGCUCCAAUAGCGUAUAUUAAAGUUGUUGCAGUUAAAAAGCUCGUAGUUGGAUUUCUGGUAGGACGUGGAUGUCGGCUUGAUGCUGUGCAGAAAUAUCUUACCAUCCUUCUGUUUAACUCGUCAUGGCAUUUACUUGCCGGGCGAGGGCUCAGAUAUUUUACCUUGAGAAAAUUAGAGUGUUUCAGGCAGG